GCUUGCUUCUUGGGGUUGUAGGACACUCUAUACGGAGUUACAAAAGAAAGUUAUAAAUGAAGCGGUCUGGAAAGGCCCGCCAAAGACGGUAACAGCCCGGUAGUUGAAAUAGCUUUCCCUCCAGAGUGGAUCCUGAGUACGGCGGAACACGUGAAAUUCCGUCGGAAUCCGGGAGGACCAUCUCCCAAGGCUAAAUACUCCCUAGUGACCGAUAGUGAACCAGUACCGUGAGGGAAAGGUGAAAAGCACCCCGGAAGGGGAGUGAAACAGUUCCUGAAACCGUGUGCCUACAAGUAGUUAGAGCCCGUUAAUGGGUGAUAGCGUGCCUUUUGUAGAAUGAACCGGCGAGUUACGAUUUGUUGCAAGGUUAAGCGGAAAAAGCGGAGCCGUAGCGAAAGCGAGUCUGAAUAGGGCGCAUAAGUAACAGGUCGUAGACCCGAAACCAGGUGAUCUACCCAUGUCCAGGAUGAAGGUAAGGUAAUACUUACUGGAGGUCCGAACCCACGCACGUUGAAAAGUGCGGGGAUGAGGUGUGGGUAGCGGAGAAAUUCCAAUCGAACUUGGAGAUAGCUGGUUCUCUCCGAAAUAGCUUUAGGGCUAGCCUCGAGGUAAAGAGUCAUGGAGGUAGAGCACUGUUUGGACUAGGGGCCCUUCUCGGGUUACCGAAUUCAGAUAAACUCCGAAUGCCAUGUACUUAUACUCGGGAGUCAGACUGCGAGUGAUAAGAUCCGUAGUCGAAAGGGAAACAGCC
rnacentral:rRNA from 1 species